rnacentral:sRNA from 1 species
GCUGGGUGCAGUCGUGCACACCUGGAGUCCCUGCUACUUGUAAGGCUGAGGCAGGAGGUUCACUUGAGUCCAGGAGUUCGGGACCAGCCUGGGCAACACAAUGAGACCUGGUCUCAA